rnacentral:rRNA from 1 species
UGCCUGGCGGCACUAGCGCGGUGGUCCCACCUGACCCCAUGCCGAACUCAGAAGUGAAACGCCGUAGCGCCGAUGGUAGUGUGGGGUCUCCCCAUGCGAGAGUAGGGAACUGCCAGGCAG